UUUUUUUUUUCACAAAAUAAUUCUUUAAAAUUUUAUAAUUUGUGAAAUAAUUUUGCCGAAUUUAUAUUUGGCAAACUAAUCAUGUAGAUUAUUUUUUGAAAAGCGGUGAAUCAUUCCUCGCAUUCUCCAAUUUCUUUUUAAGGCAUUCUCCCUUUUUCUUUUUCUCUCAUUUUGUAAAUUGUGCGUGGAUUAUAUAGAAAAUAGAAAAAAGUGAGGUUGUUAGGAUUAUAUGUUGAUCAUUUGAUUUUUUAUUUGAUU
rnacentral:lncRNA from 1 species